rnacentral:rRNA from 1 species
UACGUAGGGAGCGAGCGUUUGCCGGAAUCAUUGGGCGUAAAGAGCAUGUAGGUGGAUCAAUUAGUCUGCUGUGAAAGUCAAAGGCUCAACCUUUGAAAGCCGGUGGAUACUGUUGAUCUAGAGUACGGAAGAGGCGAGUGGAAUUCCUGGUGUAGCGGUGGAAUGCGCAGAUAUCAGGAGGAACACCAAUGGCGAAGGCAGCUCGCUGGGACGUGACUGACGCUGAGACGCGAAAGCGUGGGGAGCAAACAGG